AGCAUGGUGUAGUGGCUUGAGCAUUGGACUAAAACUUGGGAGACCAGGGUUCAAAUCCCUGUUCAGCUA